CGAUAAUUUAUUUGAAUUGCAGAAUUCAGUGAAUCAUCGAGUCUUUGAACGCACAUUGCGCCCCCUGGUAUUCCCGGGGGGGCAUGCCUGUCCGAGCGUCAUUG
rnacentral:rRNA from 1 species